CUUUCCUUUUGUUAUUUUGUUCAUUAAUCCCUCUUCUCUCUACAAAACCUAAAUCGAAAUGGCUCAUCCUCCGAUGAAGUCCCUAUCUGCCGUCAGGCUUUCCACGGCCUCCGUUCACCACUCCUUUCUUUUGGAUCGAGGUCUAAAGAAGCUCCAAUAAAUAGUAGAACUCGAAGCAAAGAAAUCCCAAAGAGAAACUGAAGCCGUGCUCAACUGUGAACCCUCCAAACUUGUUGCUGGAACUUUUCACCCUUAGUUGCUAAAUAAACAUUCUUGUGUUAUUUUUUGGGGGUUUUGAGAUCAGAUGCUAUGAUAUCAGUGUAAAGGGUAGCUCGUUUUGCUUCUUUCAUUUUUUAUUUUUGUUUCAGAUUCUGUUUUUAAUGGGUUUAGAACUAUUGUGGUGAAUUUGAUAAUGUUGGUGUGAUGAUAAAAUGAUGUGCCCUCUCUUUCUUUGUACCUGUUCUUUCUAUUCUGCUGAAUGUUCAUGUUUCUCUCUCUGAAAGCUCUUCACUUUCCCUCUACACGAUCUGUUGUUGAAGUUUGUGAUUCUAGCAGGUAAAGAGUCAAAUAAGGACGCCAGUUAACAGUGUUGAAGAAGAAAGGAAAGGGAGUCAACACGGCAUUGUUUGAAGCCUGUUUUUUAUGAUUGAAACGUUGCCUUGAGUGUCAUUUUACUUUAGUUUUGUUAUUAACAGCUUACUCAUACGACUUAGCUGAUUUCCGUAUUGUGUUCAGGUGUUCUUUCUUCUCAAUUAUUCUCAUUCUGUUGAAGGUUGUUGCUGGCACAAAACUCUAUGAUUUGUUUUGUGCUUUGCUGUUAUUUUUUCUAUUUUCUGCACUCACCACAG
rnacentral:lncRNA from 1 species